rnacentral:rRNA from 1 species
AUUGAACGCUGGCGGAACGCUUUACACAUGCAAGUCGAACGGUAACGCGGAGAGAAGCUUGCUUCUCUCCGGCGACGAGUGGCGAACGGGUGAGUAAUACAUCGGAACGUGUCCGCUCGUGGGGGACAACCAGCCGAAAGGUUGGCUAAUACCGCAUGAGUUCUACGGAAGAAAGAGGGGGACCCGCAAGGGCCUCUCGCGAGCGGAGCGGCCGAUGACUGAUUAGCCGGUUGGUGAGGUAACGGCUCACCAAAGCAACGAUCAGUAGCUGGUCUGAGAGGACGACCAGCCACACUGGGACUGAGACACGGCCCAGACUCCUACGGGAGGCAGCAGUGGGGAAUUUUGGACAAUGGGCGCAAGCCUGAUCCAGCUAUUCCGCGUGUGGGAUGAAGGCCCUCGGGUUGUAAACCACUUUUGUAGAGAACGAAAAGACACCUUUUAAAAAAGGGUGUUGCUGACGGUACUCUAAGAAUAAGCAC